GUCGGCUUCUUUGGAUUGGAAACAGCCUCCUUCUCGGGUUUAGAUCCCUGCGUUUCCGGAGGAGGUCGAGAUUAGCUAUCUGGCUUCUCUUAAGACUCGUGGUACGAUUUCAUGGGGAGAGGCUGGUUAUCCUCGGAGUUUCCAGAUCUGGCGAGAUCCGGUGAUUUAUUGAACGGGAUGCGGCCGUUUUCUAUCCCGGUGGAAGAAGGAUGUCGUAUUUACGAAUCAGGUUGAGGAAGGCUUGUAUACUUUGUU